rnacentral:rRNA from 1 species
UACGGAGGGUGCAAGCGUUGUUCGGAAUUAUUGGGCGUAAAGCGCGCGCAGGCGGGCUGCCAAGUCAGUGGUGAAAUCUUUCAGCUCAACUGGAAAAGUGCCGCUGAUACUGGCAGUCUCGAGGGAGGUAGGGGUCGAUGGAACUAAUGGUGGAGCGGUGAAAUGCGUAGAUAUCAUUAGGAACGCCGGUGGCGAAAGCGAUCGACUGGACCUCUUCUGACGCUGAGGCGCGAAAGCCAGGGGAGCAAACGGG